rnacentral:lncRNA from 1 species
UAUCACUGGUCUUCCUUUACAUAUUUUUACUUAUGUUCUUGAUCGAGUGCCUCCAGGGACUGUCGACGUGAUAUUAUCAUACUGUCAUUACGGCAUAAAUGAUUCAACUUUACUCGAUUUGCUACCUUACUUGAAGAGCAAAGGUGUGGGUGUGAUUAGUGCGUCCCCAUUGGCAAUGGGUCUCUUUACAGAGCAAGGUCCUCCUGAAUGGCACCCUGCUUCCCCUGACCUCAAGGUUUGACAUUUUGAAAUUAAUGAGAUUCUCUUUAACAAUGUAUAUGUCGCUUGUAUCGUAGACCAGUGUUAGAACACAACACCGUUGCAUGACCAUUCUAUUCUGUAGACUGAACGCUAUACUUAUGAGAGUGACAAUUCCUCUGUUUCUUAACUUCUGAGAGCAACAUUGUGAUAAAUUUUCAUAUAGAAAAUUGAAGAGAGUCCAGAGAUUGCCUAAUUUCUCGUCAGCUUAACUGACUGUGCGUUAACAUGUUAAUUGGUCUUUAAGGAGUAUUAGGAAGCUGGUAUUUGGUUAGUUUGAGGUUUGGGAGAGAGUGGAUUCUCAUGAUUUAAUCCUUGGUUUGUUCUUCGAUUUUUUUGCUUGAAUUCAGUGAGAAAUAAUAGAAGAUACUGAUUCUUUUCUAAACAAAUUGUUUUCACAUAUGAAAUCCAAAACUCGUUACUGCUUUUAUUGUCUUGUGUAGUCUGCAUGCAAAGCCGCAGUUUCACAUUGUAAUUCAAAGGGUAAGAAGAUCACAAAGUUGGCACUGCAAUACAGCUUAGCAAACAAGGCGAUUUCAUCAGUGUUGGUUGGAAAGAGCUCUGUCUCACAGGUACUAAAGUUUGAGACUUUCCUCUCAAUCCCAGGUAUUUUUGUUUUAAUUAUGUGGGAAUGAGAAUUAGGAUAUGAAACAAUAUGCUUUUUGUGUUUUUUUUAAUCAGGUAGAAGAAAAUGUUGCAGCAGUUACAGAGCUUGAAGGUUUGGGGAUGGAUCAAGAAACUCUGUCUGAGGUUGUAGCUAUUCUCGAGCCUGUAAGGAAUCUGACAUGGCCAAGCGGUAUCGAUCAGAAGUAAAAGCUCUUUGUGCUAGUUCACAGUAAACUCUGUUCUUAACUUCUUGGAAUGCUUGAUGUGCCAGUAACAUUCGAAUUUCGGUUUAUAUGAUUAAUAAAGUUUCUUAGGUAUCAAAAUGAAUCAAAACAGUUUCAAUCAAUAUCGUUGUUGUAUAAUUACAGCACAUCGUGAGAUUAUCAGGAAGAAAUUACAUAUGUCCGUUUAUAAAGGCUUGAAAUGGAAAAAUCUCCAUCAAGAGCAACCAAGUUCGAUAGCUUCUUGGAACCUCUUGGAUUGCCAAAUAGCCAAAGACCAAACUUCUGACGAUCAGAACUUCCCGAGUCAGUGAGAAAUAAAGCUUUCCAUUCAUAAUUAUGUGGGAAUAGGGAAAAAUAUGGCUUUGAUUGGUAACUUUGCGGAAUGGCGGAAUUGUGAAAAAAAUCUUGCGGAAUAGAUUAAACGACUUAUAAGGUGCUUUUCUGCGAAAUGACUUUUUGUUUGUAUUUUUGUUAAGAGUCUGCGUUUUUGUGUGUAUUUUUUCAUUACGCGGUUUUUUGUUGAUAGGCAAAAAACUUGCGGAAUUAUGUUUAAAAACGCAAUUCUGCCAUUCCGCAGGUUACCAAUCAGAGCCUAUAUGUUUUGAGCUUGGUUUAAAUUGAGAAAGUUUCUACAUACCCAAAAAAGAAAGUAAAUAUGAAAAAGGCAUAAUAAGUAAGAAAUUGCAGGAGUGAAAAGAAAAGAGUAGUUUCGUAAAUUUCGCUAGUUGAGCACCAUGUGUACAAAUAUCCAAAACAUGUGUCGACGUCUUGCAUUCUCUCAUCCUCGAUAUCUAUCGGUUUACCAUUUGUAUCCGAGAAGCUGUCUUUUUGUUGAGAUAUAUAUGUUUAACAAUGUCAAUUCCUCAGGCAAAGUUGGAGCUUCGGCCUCUGGGAAAGACAGGGCUCAAUGUUAGUUCCGUUGGUUUUGGCGCUUCUCCUCUCGGAAGUGUCUUCGGUCCUGUCGCCGAAGAUGAUGCCGUCGCCACCGUGCGCGACGCUUUCCGGCUUGGCAUCAACUUCUUCGACACCUCCCCGUAAUCACUUCUUCUAUCUCUUCAUCUCUUCUUCAGAUUACCUUUUACAAUCAUCCUUCCAAACUUAUUGCUGCUGCUUCUGUCUGUCGGAUUCAAAAUUGAUGAUUUGAGAAAGUUUACGUUUUCUACUAGUUUUAGUGGGAAUUUUCAACUAAGUGAUUCUUCUCCAUGGGUAUGUAGUUAUUAAAGGGUCCAUCUUUCUGUGAAGGUAUUAUGGAGGAACACUUUCGGAGAAAAUGCUUGGUAAGGCACUCAAGGCUCUACAAGUCCCUAGAGGUGACUACAUUGUGGCCACCAAAUGUGGACGGUAUAAAGAAGGUUUUGAUUUCAGUGCUGAGAGAGUAAGAAAGAGCAUCGACGAGAGCUUGGAGAGGCUUCAGCUAGAUUACGUUGACAUACUUCACUGCCAUGACAUUGAGUUUGGGUCUCUUGAUCAGGUUUACAACUCUCUCUCUCUCUCUCUCCCUCUCUUGGUUUGUUUCUUCACUUUCACUGUGUGUGUCAGCAUUUACUAAUUGUUGUUUCAUGGCUGACAGAUUGUGAGUGAAACAAUUCCUGCCCUGCAGAAACUGAAACAGGAAGGGAAGACCCGGUUCAUUGGUAUCACUGGUCUUCCUUUACAUAUUUUUACUUAUGUUCUUGAUCGAGUGCCUCCAGGGACUAUCGAUGUGAUAUUAUCCUACUGUCAUUACGGCAUAAAUGAUUCAACUUUACUCGAUUUGCUACCUUACUUGAAGAGCAAAGGUGUGGGUGUGAUUAGUGCGUCCCCAUUGGCAAUGGGUCUCCUUACAGAACAAGGUCCUCCUGAAUGGCACCCUGCUUCCCCUGAGCUCAAGGUUUGACAUUUUGAAAUUAAUGAGAUUCUUCUUAACAUUCUUUAUCAAGCAUAUAUUCUGUAGACUGGACUGGAUUCUAUACUUUAUGAGAGUGACACUUCCUCUGUUUCUUAACUCGGACCAAUAUAGAAGAUUAGAGAUAGUCCAGAGAUUGCUUAAUUCCCCUUUAGAUAAAUCUUCCUUGAUGAGUAUUAAGUAGUGGAUUGAACAGAUUCAUGAGUUGGCUGGUAUUUCGUUAGUUUGAGAUUUGGGAGAGUAGGGGAUUCUCAUGAGUUACUUAAUCCCUAGGUUUUGGUUUGUUCUUCAACUUUUUUACUUGAAUUCAGA